rnacentral:rRNA from 1 species
CGAGUGAACGCUGGCGGCAGGCCUAAUACAUGCAAGUCGAACGGCAGGCACGGCAGAGCUUGCUCUGUGGGUGGCGAGUGGCGGACGGGUGAGGAAUACAUGGGAAUCUGCCCAGUCGUGGGGGAUAACGUAGGGAAACUUACGCUAAUACCGCAUGCGCCCUUCGGGGGAAAGCCGGGGACCUUCGGGCCUGGCGCGAUUGGAUGAGCCCAUGUCGGAUUAGCUAGUUGGCGGGGUAAUGGCCCACCAAGGCGACGAUCCGUAGCUGGUCUGAGAGGAUGAUCAGCCACACUGGAACUGAGACACGGUCCAGACUCCUACGGGAGGCAGCAGUAGGGAAUAUUGGACAAUGGGCGCAAGCCUGAUCCAGCCAUGCCGCGUGAGUGAAGAAGGCCCUCGGGUUGUAAAGCUCUUUUGUCCGGAAAGAAAAGCGCCGGGUUAAUACCCUGGUGUCCUGACGGUACCGGAAGAAUAAGCACCGGCUAACUUCGUG